CAACCAGUUGCGCUGCUGGCCAAAACACAAAAACAAACCCCUCCGUUUUCAUAAUCAUCAGAUCUGACAACUUCGUCGAAUCCAAUUUCCAGCAUAUUAAGCUCUCGCUCCAAAUACAGUCUCUGUGUGGGCAUCGGAGAGACGUUGAACGCAAUGGACGCCUUGAGAAGGCAAGCGAGCAAGCUCAGAGAUCAAGUCGCCAAACAACAGCAGGCUGUAAUAAAGCAGAUUAGCGGAAGUGGUUAUGAAAGUUCUGAUGUAAUGGUCAUCGAUGAGGUUGAGAUGCAAAGACACCAGCAAUUGGAGAAAUUGUACAGGUCUACUCGUGCGGGAAGAGAUUUUCAGAAAGAAAUUGUUAAAGCGGCUGAAGCGUUUACUACUAUAGCGUAUAAGCAUAUCGAAACAGGAACCAAGUUGUCUGAGGAAUGUUUCAAAUAUGCUGUUGAGAACAGUGAUGACAAGAUUCUAGCUAAGGCUGCCUCUCUAUACGGUGAUGCUUGUAAAAAUGUGGAAAAGGAGCAUGAGGACUUAAACAUGCAAUUAUUUUCUCAGAUUAUAGAGCCAUUGAGAGCAAUGGCAGCUGGUGUUCCAUUGGAGGAUGCUCGGCAUCUUGCUCAACGUUACAGUCGAAUGAGACAAGAAGCAGAGACACAGGCAGCAGAAGUUUCCAGACGACAAGCUCGAGUAAGGGAAGCUCCCAUUCCUGAAAAUGUGACAAAGCUGCAUGCGGCAGAAUAUAGAAUGCAGGAACUGAAAGCAAAUAUGGCAGUACUGGGUAAGGAAGCAACAGCUGCUAUGGCUGCUGUGGAAUCUCAGCAGCAAAGGCUGACAUUCCAGAGGCUUGUUUCGUUGGUUGAAGGAGAAAAAUCAUAUCAUGAGAGAGUAGCUGCCAUUCUUGGUGAGGUGGAAACUGAGAUGGUCUCAGAGAAACAGCGGAAAGAGUCUGCUCCCCCUGUAAUUCCGUCCACCAACAGCUCAGAGAACACAAAGUACUUCUUGGCCGAGGCAACACAUGCUUUUGAUGCAGCAUCAGAGAAGGAACUGAGUUUGGGAGUUGGUGAUUAUGUUGUUGUUCGGAAGGUGAGCCCAUCGGGAUGGUCAGAAGGAGAAUGCAGAGGUAAAGCCGGCUGGUUUCCAUCAGCAUAUGUGGAGAAACGCCAGAGGAUUCCCAACAGUAGUGCAACUACUGAAGUUUUCUGAGAUGUGGUGUUAGCUGAACUCCAAACAUGAGGCGCUACCUAUCUCUGCUGAUAAUACAUUCCAGUAUACCUCAAAUUCUGCUCCAAUUCCUUCCAUCACCAGCUGAAUCUGAAAGGUCAUUACCCUGUAGACUGGCUGCUGGACCUGUGAUUACAUCCAAAAUUCUGCUUCCCCUUGGUCACUUCUGCAAUUUACCACAAGCAGCCCCUUUCUGCUUUGCUACCUUGGGGAAAUAGACAAAUGCUUUGUCUAGUUGUUGCUAUGGCUAAUUGGGCUGCGUGCUCCCGAAUCCACUCCGAGAGACACUGCUGUUUCCAUAGCUGCUUUGGAUUUGAUGUAUUUUUGGUCCUCCUGGUGUAAUACUUUUCUGGUUGCCAACUCUGUCGUUUCUGAUGUUCCUGUUAUUGUUUGUGGUUCGAGUCUUUGCUUUUACUCCUAUGUCAGGAACCAGGUUUUAAAUAUAGACCGUUGCGUACCGUAUCAGCCGUUACGUAACGGGUUUUGGACGUUUGUUACUGUUAUUUACCCUAUUUAUUGACUGAAAAUGUCUGUUAUUGGCCGAUAAACGACUGUGUCACCAAUGGCAUUAUGUAUCGACUGAAACCCUGGUCUGACCACUGUUCUUUCUUAUAUAUCUGUCGAUGUUCUUU